GAUGAACGCUGGCGGCGUGCCUAAUACAUGCAAGUCGAGCGAACAGACGCGGAGCUUGCUCCCCUGACGUUAGCGGCGGACGGGUGAGUAACACGUGGAUAACCUACCUAUAAGACUGGGAUAACUUCGGGAAACCGGAGCUAAUACCGGGUAAUAUAUUGAACCGCAUGGUUCAAUAGUGUAAGACGGUUUUGCUGUCACUUAUAGAUGGAUCCGCGCCGCAUUAGCAAGUUGGUAAGGUAACGGCUUACCAAGGCAACGAUGCGUAGCCGACCUGAGAGGGUGAUCGACCACACGGGAACUGAGACUCGGUCCAGACUCCGACGGGAGGCAGCAGUAGGGAAUCUUCCGCGAUGGGCGAAAGCGUGACAGAGCAACGCCGCGUGAGUGAUGAUGGUCUUCGGAUCGUAGAGCUCUGAUAGUAGGGAAGAACAAAUGUGUAAGUAACUAUGCACGUCUUGACGGUACCUAAUCAGAAAGCCACGGCUAACUACGUG
rnacentral:rRNA from 1 species